CCUACGGGAGGCAGCAGUAGGGAAUCUUUCACAAUGGGCGUAAGCCUGAUGGAGCAACGCCGCGUGCAGGAUGAAGGCCUUCGGGUUGUAAACUGCUUUUAUAAGCGAGAAAUAUGAUGGUAACUUAUGAAUAAGGAUCGGCUAACUACGUGCCAGCAGCCGCGGUCAUACGUAGGCUCCGAGCAUUAUCCGGAGUGACUGGGUGUAAAGAGUUUCGUAGGUGGCAUAAUAAGUAGCUAGUGAAAUCUGGGGGCUCAACCAUUCAGACUAUUAGCUAAACUGUUAGGCUCGAGACCGUUAGGGGUAACUGGAAUGUGUAGUGUAGGAGUGAAAUCCGUAGAUAUUAGAAGGAACACCGAUAGCGUAGGCAGGUUGCUGGGACGGUUCUGACACUAAGGCACGAAAGCGUAGGGAGCAAACGGGAUUAGAUACCCGUGUAGUC
rnacentral:rRNA from 1 species